rnacentral:ncRNA from 1 species
UUAAUUUGACUCAACAUGGGAAAAGUUACCAGAUCCAAACAUAGUAAGAUUGAUAGACUGAGAGUUCUUUCUUGAUUCUAUGGGUGGUGGUGCAUGACUAUUAAUUCCACUUAAUUCCAUUAACCUACGAGACCCCAAGUACAUAGCAAGAACAAUCCUCAUAUAUUAUAAAAAUUAUUAAUUUGUGAAUUUAUUUGGUUAAGGACAGUCACUUUUUUGUGCAAUCUGCUACAAUUACAACAAAAGACUGGCAUAUUGGGAAAGGUAUUAAAAGAAUUUCCUCACAAAUGGUCA